AUUAGCUAGUUGGUAGGGUAACGGCCUACCAAGGCUACGAUGUCUUGGGGUCCUGAGAGGGUGAUCCCCCACACUGGUACUGAGACACGGACCAGACUCCUACGGGAGGCAGCAGUGAGGAAUAUUGGUCAAUGGGCGCAAGCCUGAACCAGCCAUCCCGCGUGCAGGAAGAAGGCGCUAUGCGUCGUAAACGGCUAACUCCGUGCCAGCAGCCGCGGUAAUACGGAGGAUGCGAGCGUUAUCCGGAUUUAUUGGGUCGAAAGGGUGCGUAGGCGGAUUACUAAGUCAGUGGUGAAAACCUGCAGCUUAACUGUAGAAUUGCCAUUGAUACUGAUAGUCUUGAGUACGGUCAAUGUAGGCGGAAUGUGUAAUGUAGCGGUGAAAUGCUUAGAUAUUACACAGAACACCGAUUGCGAAGGCAGCUUACUGGGCCAUUACUGACGCUGAUGCACGAAAGCGUGGGGAGCGAACAGGAUUAGAUACCCUGGUAGUCCACGCCGUAAACCGUGAUCACUCGCUGUUGGCGAUACACAGUCAGCGGCUAAGCAAAAGCAUUAAGUGAUCCACCUGGGGAGUA
rnacentral:rRNA from 1 species